UGGCGGCAUGCUUUACACAUGCAAGUCGAACGGCAGCAUAGGUGCUUGCACCUGUAUGGCGAGUGGCGAACGGGUGAGUAAUGCAUCGGAACGUACCGAGUAGUGGGGGAUAACUGUCCGAAAGGAUGGCUAAUACCGCAUACGCUUUGAGAAGGAAAGCGGGGGAUCCUCGGACCUCGCGCUAUUCGAGCGGCCGAUGUCUGAUUAGCUAGUUGGUGGGGUAAUGGCCCACCAAGGCGACGAUCAGUAGCGGGUCUGAGAGGAUGAUCCGCCACACUGGGACUGAGACACGGNCCAGACUCCUACGGGAGGCAGCAGUGGGGAAUUUUGGACAAUGGGCGCAAGCCUGAUCCAGCCAUGCCGCGUGUAUGAAGAAGGCCUUCGGGUUGUAAAGUAC
rnacentral:rRNA from 1 species